UGAAUCCAUAUGUGGAAAUCCGUAGUCCUCCUUGGAAGAUUGUUUGAAAGCUCCUUAAUCCUUCCUUCAAGAUUGUCAUGAAGUUUUCCCAAGAGUUUCACAAGAAUAUCUCCAAGAUCAAAAAUGGAAAUGGUUUUCCACUUGAUAGCAAACCAAAAUUACUCUCUAGUUUUAAUGGGAGGAAGAAGAGAAUUGGAUGCUUCAAAUGGGAACCAUAACCCUUCUUUUAUAAGCAUGUAACCAUAGUUAGCCCAUCAUUAACUAUGGUUACUCUUUAAGUAACUAUGGUUACUUUUAUGGGUAUCUACACAUAAAUUAGUCUUACACUCUAUAUGACAAUAUAUUGGCCCCCUUAAUA
rnacentral:lncRNA from 1 species